ensembl:lncRNA
GCUUCUAGCAGGUUUUUCUUUUUUUUUCCUGGAGGAAUUUGACACGACAGAUGAAAACGAAACAGAAGUUUUGACUGUUUUAUUUCAUAUCUAUUACCUGCCAGGACUCAUUUCUUUUCAGCAACAGUUAAGAAAUAAUUUGAGUUGGCACCAGACAAAAGCAGCUUGUUAACAUCAUGAAAAUGUGGAAUGAGAGAAAAAAAAAAAACCUUCCUGAGAGCAAACUCCUAAUCCUCACUGCUGAUUGGCUCACAGGGAAAAAAAAGGUGGGAUUUCUUUAAUAAAAGCAAAUCAUGCAGGAGGUUGUGAAGCUGAACAGUGACAGCAGGACUAAGACAUUAAAGUCAAACUCAAGAAGAAUAAGGUACGUUUUUUUUUUUCUGUUUUCCAAAAUUCAGUUUGUUGUAAAAUUGGUUCAAACAAAUCAUUUUGGCAAUUCUGAAGUAGCUGGGUUUCUUUUUCCUCUGGUAAUUAUCAAGAAUGAACUGAUAUAGUGUUUUAUAGAAGAUAAAUAAUAAGCAGUACUCCAGAAUUUUUUGAGUUCCUGAGAAGAAGUCAAAUUCACCUCAUUAAAUAAAAAAUUCUAGGAUUUCCUGUGUUCUUCCAACUCUCUCUCUGAGGUUUUGCUGUUGGGGCAAACAUUAACGUCUCCAUGGUGACUGCAGGUCACUGGAUAAGUCACUGUGCACCACGCCUCGUCAGAAAUGUCGAGGAGGAGGCGUUCUGACCCGAUCCUCCCACGUGUUGCUCAUGCAAAGUUGCUUUAUCAACCACAGCAACAACUCCUGCUCCUGUUAUUUGUGACUUCGACAAAUGUCUCUUUUUCAGCCUCAGAGGACGGAAAGCUCUCACUUCACGAUGCCUCCUGUUAAAGGCAUGUCGCACACCAUACCCAGCCACGUUCUGAGAGUGGGCCAGACAAUCUGCAUGGACCAGACUUCAGACACAAAGUCCAGCGACCCAGUGGAUCGGGACCUUGACAUUUCCUUGGAAAAUCUCAACCAGCUUAUAUUGGAACUGGAUCCAACAUUUGAACCUGUUGAAGUAAAGAAAAGCCCCACACGUGUCAGCCCUCCAGCAGAUGACUUUUCCCAUUGCGUGUUGGUUUCAAGAGGAUGUCCGCCCAGCUCUCGGCCCACAGCGGUGCCGUCCGUGUCGCCCAGCAUCCCCAUCCCAACACACAGCGGUCUCAGCUCCAGCCCGCAGGGGGCGCUGGUGUUCUCCACCUCCCCGACGUCCUGUCUGCCACCUUUGCCGUUCGGCAGCGCACCCAGGAGGAAUCAUUCGCUGAGGCACGACUCCUCCCAGGGUUCCCUGCGCCUGUGCCAAUCCAACAGAAACAGCGCCACCUCGCUGCUGUCCAUGUCUACGUGCUCGGACACCAGCUACAUCCUGGGCAGGUAAGACUCACGGAAAAGUUUUUGUUUUGGAAAUUCAGCUAGUUAGAGUAUAAGGACUUACUUCAGGUCUGUUAUUUUUAUAUAUCAGGGAUUCAAACAAUAUCUUUGAACUAUUGUACUGUUUACGCAUUUUUUGUAAUUCCGACGGAUUCUGAAGUGAACAAAAUUUGCAAACGCAAAUUGUUUGGUUUACUUAAUCACGCAAGUAUGUUAUACUAGAGGUGUGUAUUGGCAAGAGUUUGGCGAUACGAUACAUAUUCCGAUAUGUGUCUCUUGAUACGAUAUGUACUGUAUAUCAGAACAAUUUUUCAUUUUUUUUAAGAGUAUGUCUAAAAAAUAAA